GACAGAGGGUGCAAACGUUGCUCGGAAUCGCUGGGCGUAAAGGGCGUGUAGGCGGGAAGGAAAGUCAGAUGUGAAAUCCCUGGGCUCAACCCAGGAACUGCAUUUGAAACUCCCUUUCUUGAGUGUCGGAGAGGAAAGCGGAAUUCCUGGUGUAGAGGUGAAAUUCGUAGAUAUCAGGAGGAACACCGGUGGCGAAGGCGGCUUUCUGGACGAUCACUGACGCUGAGACGCGAAAGCGUGGGGAGCAAACAGG
rnacentral:rRNA from 1 species